rnacentral:rRNA from 1 species
AGUGAACGCUGGCGGUAGGCCUAACACAUGCAAGUCGAACGGCAGCACAGUAAGAGCUUGCUCUUACGGGUGGCGAGUGGCGGACGGGUGAGGAAUACAUCGGAAUCUACUUUUUCGUGGGGGAUAACGUAGGGAAACUUACGCUAAUACCGCAUACGACCUACGGGUGAAAGCAGGGGAUCUUCGGACCUUGCGCGAUUGAAUGAGCCGAUGUCGGAUUAGCUAGGUGGCGAGGUAAAGGCUCACCAAGGCGACGAUGCGUAGCUGGUCGGAGAGGAUGAUCGGCCACCAGGGAACUGAGACACGGUCACGACCCCUACGGGAGGCAGCAGUAGGGAAUCUUCCGCAAUGGGCGAAAGCCUGACGGAGCAACGGCGCGUGAGUGAUGAAGGGCUUCGGAUCGUAAAAAUAUGUUAUUAGGGAAGAACAAAUGUGUAAGUAACUAUGCACGUCUUGACGGUACCUAAUCAGAAAGCCACGGCUAACUACGUG